CCUAGAGACAAUCAGCACUAGCAGCACCCAUUUUCAUGAACUGCAGGCGUUAAAAUGCCCCUCCAUGAAUCAAACGGCUCCUGGUAACCCUAUGCGUGCCCUAUAAUAAUGAAAAUCCCAGGGAACGGUUCUGAUGAAUGAUGACAGAUGGACCCUAUAAAGCUAUGCUUUUCUACAUGCCUCACUGGAAGGGGUCGGUAGCAUCUAAAUAAAGUAGGAGUGAAACUAGCAGGGAGACCACCCUCUUUAAAAUCCAAAGAAAAGCUGCUUUUAAUCUGAAACUGAUCUUGCUAUCUGGCUACCUCUUGUUUUGUCACUACGUUGGGGUUAUCAACUCAUCACUAAACCAUACACCAACUUCCCUGCUAGUAUAUUUCUUAGCCAUUAGACAAAAGACCAAACCCCUCGUAUUUCUUCAGUUUCUGAGAGAGAAAGAGGCGUGUGUGGCAUCAGAAACGAGGGUUAGGACUUAGGAGGUGAGAGAACGCAGGAAAAGACUGGAGGGAGGGAGGGAUUGGAGGGUUUUCAUCAGUAACGAGGGAGGAUGAUGAUUCUUUCCCUGAUCCUUCUUAAUAUAUACGAUGUCUUACAGACCUGUAAUUCAUAGGAAUAUGGAAGGAACCGUCUAAUCUGAUCAUUAUUACAACUCCAAAACAAUUAUUAAUUAUUUCUCUUGUCUUUUUAAGUCUUCAAAUCACCUCUUCUUCUCCCCCCUCACUGCCCUUUUCAAUUAAUUACACCCACAAGGAGCCCCUCCCUCUUUCUCUCUCUUAUUUACUGUGCUAUACCAUACUUUCUUCUUAAAUAGAACCCAUCUGUCCCCAAGGAUUGUUAUUACUCUCUAGCUGUCUGUUUUCCUUGUAUGUGUCUGUGCCUUCCAGUGGUGAAUACUAGGACAGCUAGCUAGCUAGCUUUCAUGUGGAUUUAGCAAAGGGUUUCUUACAGAGUUUAUUGGCAUUCUGUCCACCUCCUAUCUUUAGAAAUUAGAAUAUCUCUUUCAUAUGGAGGUGGGCAUACUGCCAACCGAGCUCUGUUGGUCUCUCUUUGUAAAACCCUCGUGAUUAUUCUGUCAUCAUCGUCAUCUUUUAGCUCUUUCUCUCUUGCAAGAAAGAAAGAUCAAAGGUAAAGAAUCUGCAUGCGCUAUGAUGAUCUCUAGCAACCUCUUCUUUUUUUUUUGUUUUUUUUUUUUGUGGUAAGCUUCUUUUGUUUUUCUGAUCAUGGUGGUCAUGCACUGGCAGCUUCUGGCCCUUAUUUGGCUUCUACUUGAUGACUCCAACUUUACCAUCUACUUUUCCUAAUAAAACACAAAAAAAUCAAUAAAAGAGAAAAUCACUACGACUUGCUUUGAUCACCUGUUGAUUGCCAUGGUUCAAUUUUCUGCAGAAAAUUAGAGGUAAUGAGGCAUCACAUGUGCAGAAUCCUGGUUUUCACUUUGUAGAUCUUAACCUAUGUGACUUUUUCCUGGGUUUUUGGGUGUAAUUGCUCCUUUCAUACUUGCCUAUAUUUCAUAAUCUAACAGUGCAUAAUGCAUUGCUCUCUUCAUCUCAUCAUCCAGGCUUAUCUAUCUCUUAUUUCCCCUUUGAAUCUAACUCAAGUGAUCGUACUCAAGAUUAGUUCAAUUAAUAAAGACUCAAAGAGUUGAAGGCUGGACGAUGCCUCUUUGCAGCGAUCAUACGAACUCAACUCAACUUAAUUAUAGGAUGCAUCGAAGGUCUUUCGUUAGGGCAUGCCAAACACUCCAUUUCUAUGAUAUACUCCCAAGUCCACACGCUGAGUGUCUUUUUUGAUGAUGUAAAGGCAAAAUUUCUAAAUAAUUUGUUGUGAUUGUGCUUUGUGCAUUUGGCCAUCAGACGCAUGGAAAUGUUUGGAAUAAUAAUAGAGGGUUACAUUACCAGGUGGCUCCACUCAAGGUUCCACAUUGAUGUUUGAAAGUCAAGCUUUUUUGCUUUAAGCACUUGCUCAUAGAAUUUUGUAUUAGUGAUUUUGAUUCUUGUAUCCCUUUUGGUUCAAAUGUGACUUCAAUUUAGGCAUGGUAGGACACUCAAUAAAAGGGUAAAAUAAGAGCCGCUGGGAUGGUGAUAAUUACUCCAUCGGGGACCAUAAUAUGGCUGAGUAAUGGCAGUACUGUGUUCUUUCAGUGCACAAAACUGGAGGGGGCGACGAGGGACCAUAAGCAUUUAUCAAGGUAAAGAAGUUCACUGUUAGGGCUCCAUCCAGAAAUAAAUUGGACUCAGUACCAAAAAGCAAUGAAAUUCGAAAUUUAUUUAAGCAUUUUUUAAUCUUCUAUAUGUCCGGAUAUUGUGACCUUUUUUGUACAAGUCAUUGCUUUUUUUUU